GGGCGCAGCAGGCGCGAAAACUUUACAAUGCCGGCAACGGCGAUAAGGGAACCUCGAGUGCCAGGUUACAAAUCUGGCUGUCCUGAUGCCUAAAAAGCACUGCAUAGCAAGGGCCGGGCAAGACCGGUGCCAGCCGCCGCGGUAACACCGGCGGCUCGAGUGGUAACCGUUAUUAUUGGGUCUAAAGGGUCUGUAGCCGGCCGGGUAAGUCUUUUGGGAAAUCUGGCAGCUUAACUGUCAGGCUUUCAGGAGAUACUGCCUGGCUCGAGGCCGGGAGAGGUGAGAGGUACUUCAGGGGUAGGGGUGAAAUCUUGUAAUCCUUGAAGGACCACCAGUGGCGAAGGCGUCUCACCAGAACGGACUUGACGGCAAGGGACGAAAGCUAGGGGCACGAACCGGAUUAGAUACCCGGGUAGUCCUAGCCGUAAACGAUACUCGCUAGGUGUCGGCCACGGUGCGACCGUGGUCGGUGCCGUAGGGAAGCCGUGAAGCGAGCCACCUGGGAAGUACGGCCGCAAGGCUGAAACUUAAAGGAAUUGGCGGGGGAGCA
rnacentral:rRNA from 1 species